rnacentral:tRNA from 1 species
GACAAGAUGGCAGAGUUGGUCGAAUGCGGUAGCCUGCUAAGCUAUUGACCGCAAUUAAGCGGUCCGAGGGUUCGAAUCCCUCUCUUGUCG